AUAGUCUAGUCUCUCUUCAGAUCAUAUAAAUCUUUUAGCUUUUUACUAAAGAUUUCUGUGGAGAGGAACAUUUAUGAGUAUUUAUUAAUUUUUUCAGGUGGAACAUCAUUCGCU